rnacentral:rRNA from 1 species
AACGAACGUUGGCGGCGUGGAUUAGGCAUGCAAGUCGAGCGAGAAAGAGGGGGCAACCCCUUGAGUAAAGCGGCGAACUGGUGAGUAAUAGGUGGGUAAUGUGCCUUUCAGUGGGGGAUAACACCUGGAAACAGGUGCUAAUACCGCAUGGUGCCCGGAGAGUUAGUCAUUCCGGGAUAAAGGUGCCAUAAGCAAUUGUGGUGUCGCUGAAAGAUCGGCCCGCCCCUGAUUAGCCUGUUGGUGGGGUAACGGCCUACCAAAGCUAUGAUCAGUAGCUGGUCUGAGAGGAUGGUCAGCCACACUGGGACUGAGAUACGGCCCAGACUCCUACGGGAGGCAGCAGUCUAGAGGCUUCGUCAAUGGGGGAAACCCUGAACGAGCGACGCCGCGUGCGGGAUGAAGGUCGUGAGAUUGUAAACCGCUGUCGGCAGGAAAAAAUGCCCGAGUGGUGAACUCGGGAGUGAUGGUACCUGCAAAGGAAGCCCGGCUAACUCCGUGCCAG